CCUACGGGAGGCAGCAGUGGGGAAUUUUGGACAAUGGGCGAAAGCCUGAUCCAGCAAUGCCGCGUGAGUGAAGAAGGCCUUCGGGUUGUAAAGCUCUUUUGUCAGGGAAGAAACGGUGAGGGCUAAUAUCCUUUGCUAAUGACGGUACCUGAAGAAUAAGCACCGGCUAACUACGUGCCAGCAGCCGCGGUAAUACGUAGGGUGCAAGCGUUAAUCGGAAUUACUGGGCGUAAAGCGUGCGCAGGCGGUUUUGUAAGUCUGAUGUGAAAUCCCCGGGCUCAACCUGGGAAUUGCAUUGGAGACUGCAAGGCUAGAAUCUGGCAGAGGGGGGUAGAAGUUCCACGUGUAGCAGUGAAAUGCGUAGAUAUGUGGAGGAACACCGAUGGCGAAGGCAGCCCCCUGGGUCAAGAUUGACGCUCAUGCACGAAAGCGUGGGGAGCAAACAGGAUUAGAUACCCUGGUAGUCCACGCCCUAAACGAUGUCUACUAGUUGUCGGGUCUUAAUUGACUUGGUAACGCAGCUAACGCGUGAAGUAGACCGCCUGGGGAGUACGGUGCAAGNUUAAAACGUUAAAGGAAUUGACGG
rnacentral:rRNA from 1 species